rnacentral:rRNA from 1 species
UAGGGAAUCUUCGGCAAUGGACGAAAGUCUGACCGAGCAACGCCGCGUGAGUGAAGAAGGUUUUCGGAUCGUAAAACUCUGUUGUUAGAGAAGAACAAGGACGUUAGUAACUGAACGUCCCCUGACGGUAUCUAACCAGAAAGCCACGGCUAACUACGUGCCAGCAGCCGCGGUAAUACGUAGGUGGCAAGCGUUGUCCGGAUUUAUUGGGCGUAAAGCGAGCGCAGGUGGUUUCUUAAGUCUGAUGUGAAAGCCCCCGGCUCAACCGGGGAGGGUCAUUGGAAACUGGGAGACUUGAGUGCAGAAGAGGAGAGUGGAAUUCCAUGUGUAGCGGUGAAAUGCGUAGAUAUAUGGAGGAACACCAGUGGCGAAGGCGGCUCUCUGGUCUGUAACUGACGCUGAGGCUCGAAAGCGUGGGGAGCAAACAGG